rnacentral:rRNA from 1 species
GACAGAGGGGGCAAGCGUUGCUCGGAAUUACUGGGCGUAAAGGGCGCGUAGGCGGGAUGGCAAGUCGGUCGUGAAAUCCCUCGGCUCAACCGAGGAACGUCGAUCGAUACUGCUGUUCUUGAGGAUUGCAGAGGAGACUGGAAUUCCCGGUGUAGCGGUGAAAUGUGUAGAGAUCGGGAGGAACACCGGUGGCGAAGGCGGGUCACUGGACCAUAACUGACGCUGAUGCACGAAAGCUGGGGGAGCAAACAGG